rnacentral:lncRNA from 1 species
AUGUGGAAGAACUAUGUGCUCCCCAGGGACAGUGACCUCCAACUUGAAUUCAGCGAGAUUUGACACUUAAGGUGGAAGACUUCUAAGUCCUCUGGGGUGAGGAUAGAAUUUACUAGGAAGGGCCAAACUCGGGCACAUUUCUCACUUUGGGUACACCUGAAGAGCAGCCCACAUCAGACCUAAGGUCCAUGCCUCCUAGGUCAUUGUCCGAAGUCCAAGU